rnacentral:rRNA from 1 species
AUAGCGUAUAUUAACGUUGUUGCAGUUAAAAAGCUCGUAGUUGAAAUGAAGGGUAGUUGUGUAAUGAAUACAUUCGUGUAUUUUGUUAUUCUACUACCCUCCUUCUAAAUUCGAUAUAUGAGUAUUAAUUUACUUGUAUAUGGUUUUAGACGUUUACUGUGAGAAAAUUAGAGUGUUCAAAGCAGGCAUUUGCUUGAAUAUAUUAGCAUGGAAUAAUCAUGUAUGAUUUUCAUGAUGUAUUUGAUUGGUUUGGUUGAUGAGAAUAAGAUUAAAAGGGACAGUUGGGGGUAUUCAUAUUCAAUAGUCAGAGGUGAAAUUCUCGGAUUUAUGGAAGAUGAACAAGUGCGAAAGCAUUUACCAAGGAUGUUUUCAUUAAUCAAGAACGAAAGUUAGGGGAUCGAAGAGGAUUAGAUACCCUCGUAGUCUUAACUAUAAACGAUACCGACUAGAGGUUAGUGAAGGUCAUUGUGUCUUGACUAGUAUCUUAUGAGAAAUCAAAGUCUUUGGGUUCCGGGGGGAGUAUGGUCGCAAGGCUGAAACUUAA